rnacentral:lncRNA from 1 species
GUCGAGCGGGGGUAACAGGGGAAUAGAACGGUGGUUUCUAGCUGUGGAGUUCUCCCUAAACAGUAUAGACAAGUGUGUUGUAUACAUCUUUUAGUAGUUAUAUUUGGUGAAUCAUAUAGGGAGAGGCGAACCCAACGUUGGAAGGGUGUUUUGCCACUUUCAUACAAGAUGUCUAAUGACAUACAACCUCGUGUCAUCAUAAGACAGGGUUGUGC